rnacentral:rRNA from 1 species
GUUUUCAAUGGGGGAUAUUUAAANCCAUCCAAAAUCGAGUAUCAAUUGGAGGACAAGUCUGGUGCCAGCACCCGCGGUAAUCCAGCU